UGUGUAAAGACGUUUAUUGGUUUUAAAGAUUUGUUUUCCAGAAUCAUUGUUUUUUUCUCAUUAGGGCAGUGCCUCUAGAUUAUUUGACUCAUGCACUCACCAUCUUCCAGUGGUAAACAUUUCUUUCCUAUUGAUUUAUGCCACAUGCAUUUUUUUCUCUGCUUCUGAGGAUCACAGAAGAGGAUAACUCUGGAAAUAGGAUACACCAAAGUCUCCCCAUGAAUUGCAGUGAGGGUCUGAAAGUUCGCAGUCACUCACGGUAUACAGAUCAGCAUCCUAGCAUUGUCAUGAUGGCAACCACAUUCAUGAAAUGAAGUCACAUUGUAGAGAAGGCAGGCAGGAAUGAAACCAAGCACAUCAGGUGACAGCAGUUUCUGUGUUAGCUCAAGUAGUGUCAUCACCAGUGAUUGCCCAAGAUCUAGAGACACAAAAUGGUUGCAUGUCUACAAAGUAGGACAGUCACUUAAUUUACCACCAGUAGAAGAAAAGAGAAAGCCACCUCCUGGUUUUAACUGUGCAAGAGACACAGGGUGAAUUGGCAGUGGGGGGCAGUGCAGGGAUCUUUUUUUCCUUCUAUGCGGCCUUACUGACCUGGGAGGACGGCCUCGCACCUGACCCCCUCAUUGCACUCUAUUUGUCUGGCCUUAUCAUGACCUUGAAAGAAAAUCUUACUUCCCUCUGUUUUGAUUGUUUCUGUUUGGCCAGCACACUUUGCUCCCGUGUUUCUUCUGGAACCAAACUAACAUCACUUAUUGCUUUCCUGAACGUCAACAGAGUUUGUUUGCCUUUCCAGUUUAUUGACCACAUUCUGUGGAUCAGACAGGCCCUGGGCUUAAAAAUGAUACUCAAUACUAUGUGAAUUAGAGGCUGCAAAAAUUAGAAAGAGAAGUAGAACCUAACAGAAAACUAAGAACAGAGCUGUACAUGACUUCAGUGUCUUACAAAGUUCUGACUACAGUCCCACGGGCUGAGCUCCAAGCCCCUUACAGAAGCUUCCCAAAGCAGUUGGAGGGAAUUUCUGCCCUCUGCUCCAAUUUGCUUUGGGCACAGAAUGGAUCAUGUGGGUGUUUCCCAGCUGGCUUGGAAGACUCGUGACUGUACUGAUUCAAUGGUUGGGUGAAGAGUGUGUGUUUGAUGAGGGCAACAUGAAUUGCCUAAUGGUCUCAUGAAGCAACAUAAAGGAUCAGAAAGCCACAGUAAGGCAGUGGCCUUGUUGCUCCUGUCCUACUGUGGACAAGCCCCUCAAAGUCUCUGGGCUCGCCUCCUUCACUGCAGAGGGUGUAAAAUUAGACUAAGUGGUCUUCCAGAUUCAGUGACUCUACCCUCACUACAGUCAGGAAGUAAGCUCUGCCCCUUUAGAAAGCAAAUUCCAUUAAAAUUUCACCUGCUGUUGGAUGGGGACAUGGAAAUAGAAUUCCUACGCACAGGGCAAGCUCCACACACCAGGCUAGGUUGUCAGGUGGGACUGUGUCCUGCUUCCUGAAAUCAGCUCCAUGAAUAGGGUCUCUGCAGGUGACAGGUGGCAAGGAGACUCCAGUUCUCCCAUUCAAGGCCAGUGAGGACAGAGUCCACACUCCCUUUCAAGGUGUCCUCAGCCCCUCCUAUUUCUACACCUGCCCUUCUUCUUCCCUUUGCCGAACCAUGGCUCAAACCUGAUUGACUCCAUGAAAUCUUUCUGGUUUUCAGUCAGAAAAUCUCUGGACUUGCACAAUGUCUUUAAUUUCUGCAGUGCAAUUUGGCACUUGCCUUGCUUGGUGCUGGUGCCUGUGUGCUAUUCCUAUCUUUUCAGUUGCUAUCCAGGGAAGGGGCUGUACCUUAAUCUUCUGCAUGCCCUGCAUGUAAGAGGAGAAUGCUGAGUGAGUGGAGAGAUGGUCAGUUGUUAUUGGUUGAUUUUUGGGUCAGUUGGUUGACUUAAUGUAAGAACUGGGGACGGAAAGCAAGUAUAUGAUUACCAGGUACGUGUAUUUUAACCACUGUAAUUGAUCAUUCUGAGUCGAUAUCUAUGUGGGUUCUAAUUAAAGCCUGCUGUAAUGUAAAUUUCCUGAUACUAUGAAAAUGACACUUACAUUUUGUUGACAAUCUUUAGUCUCCAAAGCACUUCUGCUGCAUCAUUUUGGCCAAUUCUCACACUGACCUGCUAGGAGUACACAGCUGAGGAAACCGAGGCUCAGGCAGGUGGAGUGACUGGCCAGGGUUACACGGAUACAUGGCUUUUUGUCUUUCAAUCCCAGGUCUUUUUCACUCGUCUACAUAUUUUUCUCUUAAAAAAAGGUCAAAUUUUGACAGAUGGAGCUGAAAACUUUAAGCCUACAUCCUGGUUUUUCUGAGUAGUGGAUUUUAGAGACAGCAAGUCUUUGCAGG
rnacentral:lncRNA from 1 species